rnacentral:rRNA from 1 species
UACGUAGGGUGCAAGCGUUGUCCGGAAUUAUUGGGGGUAAAGAGGUCGUAGGCGGUCUGUCGCGUCGGCUGUGAAAACCCGAGGCUCAACCUCGGGCCUGCAGUCGAUACGGGCAAACUAGAGUACGGCAGGGGAGACUGGAAUUCCUGGUGUAGCGGUGAAAUGUGCAGAUAUCAGGAGGAACACCGGUGGCGAAGGCGGGUCUCUGGGCAGUAACUGACGCUGAGGAGCGAAAGCGUGGGGAGCGAACAGGAUUAGAUACCCUGGUAGUCCACGCCGUAAACGUUGGGCGCUAGGUGUGGGGGCCAUUCCACGGUCUCCGUGCCGCAGCUAACGCAUUAAGCGCCCCGCCUGGGGAGUACGGCCGCAAGGCUAAAACUCAAAGGAAUUGACGGGGGCCCGCACAAGCGGCGGAGCAUGUUGCUUAAUUCGAUGCAACGCGAAGAACCUUACCUAGGCUUGACAUGCACGGAAAUCUCGCAGAGAUGCGGGGUCCGUUAGGGCGUCGGGCACAGGUGGUGCAUGGUUGUCGUCAGCUCGUGUCGUGAGAUGUUGGGUUAAGUCCCGCAACGAGCGCAACCCUCGUUCUAUGUUACCAGCACGUUAUGGUGGGGACUCAUAGGAGACUGCCGGGGUCAACUCGGAGGAAGGUGGGGAUGACGUCAAAUCAUCAUGCCCCUUAUGUCUAGGGCUGCAAACAUGCUACAAUGCCCGGUACAAAGGGCUGCGAUACCGCGAGGUGGAGCGAAUCCCAAAAAGCCGGUCUCAGUUCGGAUUGGGGUCUGCAACUCGACCCCAUGAAGUUGGAGUCGCUAGUAAUCGCAGAUCAGCAACGCUGCGGUGAAUACGUUCCCGGGCCUUGUACACACCGCCCCUCACGUCACGAAAGUCGGUAACGCCCGAAGCCGGUGGCCCAACCCUUGUGGAGGGAGCCGUCGAAGGCGGG